rnacentral:rRNA from 1 species
UACAUUACUACUUAGCGGCAGACGGGUGAGUAACACGUGGGUAACCUACCUCAGAGACUGGGAUAACGUUUAGAAAUGAACGCUAAUACCGGAUUAAUUGUAGAAGGAAAACUUUUUAUACUAAAAGGGAGCUAAGGCUUCGCUUUGAGAUGGGCUUGCGGUGUAUUAGCUAGUUGGUGGGGCAAUGGCCUACCAAGGCAACGAUGCAUAUCCGAGCUGAGAGGCUGAUCGGACACAUUGGGACUGAGACACGGCCCAGACUCCUACGGGAGACAGCAGUUAGGAAUAUUCGUCAAUGGGGGAAACCCUGAACGAGCAAUGCCGCGUGAGUGAUGAAGGUCUAAUAGAUUGUAAAACUCUGUUGUAAAGGAAGAACGACUAUUAUAGGGAAUGAUAAUAGAGUGACGGUACUUUACCAGAAAGCCCCGGCUAACUACGUGCCAGCAGCCGCGGUAAUACGUAGGGGGCGAGCGUUAUCCGGAUUUAUUGGGCGUAAAGGGUGCGUAGGCGGUUUAUUAAGUUUAAGAUAAAAGCCCGAAGCUUAACUUCGGUUCGUCUUAAAAACUGGUAGACUUGAGUAUAGUAGAGGCAAGUGGAAUUUCUAGUGUAGCGGUUAAAUGCGUAGAUAUUAGAAGGAACACCGGUGGCGAAGGCGACUUGCUGGGCUAUUACUGACGCUGAGGCACGAAAGCGUGGGGAGCAAAUAGGAUUAGAUACCCUAGUAGUCCACGCUGUAAACGAUGAGUACUAAGUGUCGGGCAACCGGUGCUGAAGUUAACACAUUAAGUACUC